GAGGUGCAGCUGGUGGAGUCUGGAGGAGGCUUGGUACAGCCUGGGGGGUCCCUGAGACUCUCCUGUGCAGCCUCUGGAUUCACCUUCAGUAACCACUACACGAGCUGGGUCCGCCAGGCUCCAGGGAAGGGACUGGAGUGGGUUUCAUACAGUAGUGGUAAUAGUGGUUACACAAACUACGCAGACUCUGUGAAAGGCCGAUUCACCAUCUCCAGGGACAACGCCAAGAACUCACUGUAUCUGCAAAUGAACAGCCUGAGAGCCGAGGACACGGCUGUGUAUUACUGUGUGAAA
rnacentral:lncRNA from 1 species